rnacentral:rRNA from 1 species
UGGGGAAUCUUGGACAAUGGGGGCAACCCUGAUCCAGCCAUGCCGCGUGAGUGAUGAAGGCCUUAGGGUCGUAAAGCUCUUUCGCCUGUGAAGAUAAUGACGGUACCUGCAGAGGAAGCCCCGGCUAACUCCGUGCCAGCAGCCGCGGUAAUACGGAGGGGGUUAGCGUUGUUCGGAAUUACUGGGCGUAAAGCGCACGUAGGCGGACCAGAAAGUUGGGGGUGAAAUCCCGGGGGCUCAACCCCGGAACUGCCUCCAAAACUAUUGGUCUAGAGUUCGAGAGAGGUGAGUGGAAUUCCAAGUGUAGAGGUGAAAUUCGUAGAUAUUUGGAGGAACACCAGUGGCGAAGGCGGCUCACUGGCUCGAUACUGACGCUGAGGUGCGAAAAGUGUGGGGAGCAAAACAGGAUUAGAUACCCUGGUAGUCCACACCGUAAAACGAUGAAUGCCAGUCGUCGGGUAGCAUGCUAUUCGGUGACACACCUAACGGAUUAAGCAUUCCGCCUGGGGAGUACGGUCGCAAGAUU